UACGUAGGGUGCAAGCGUUAAUCGGAAUUAGCUAGGGCGUAACGUGCGCUAGGCGGCUUUGACAAGACAGAUAGUCGGAAAUCCCCCGGGCGAUCCAACCUGGGAACUGCAUUUGUGACUGCAUGGCUGGAGUGCGGCAGAGGGGGAUGGAAUUCCGCGUGUAGCAGUGAAAUGCGUAGAUAUGCGGAGGAACACCGAUGGCGAAGGCAAUCCCCUGGGCCUGCACUGACGCUCAUGCACGGAAAGCGUGGGGAGCAAACAGG
rnacentral:rRNA from 1 species